GAACUUAAGCAUAUCAAUAAGCGGAGGAAAAGAAACCAACAGGGAUUACCUCAGUAACGGCGAGUGAAGCGGUAAUAGCUCAAAUUUGAAAUCUGGCUCUUUCAGGGUCCGAAUUGUAAUUUGUAGAAGAUGCUUCGAGUGUAGCUCCGGUCUAAGUUCCUUGGAACAGGACGUCAUAGAGGGUGAGAAUCCCGUAUGUGACUGGUGGCUUUCGCUCAUGUGAAGCUCUUUCGACGAGUCGAGUUGUUUGGGAAUGCAGCUCAAAAUGGGUGGUAUAUUUCAUCUAAAGCUAAAUAUUGGCCAGAGACCGAUAGCGCACAAGUAGAGUGAUCGAAAGAUGAAAAGCACUUUGGAAAGAGAGUUAAACAGUACGUGAAAUUGUUGAAAGGGAAGCGCUUGCAACCAGACUUGCACGCUGUUAAUCAUCAGGAGUUCUCUCCUGUGCACUUAGCAGUGUUCAGGCCAGCAUCGAUUUUGGUGGUUGGAUAAAGACCUUAGGAAUGUGGCAUCUUUCGGGGUGUGUUAUAGCCUUCGGUGCAAUGCAGCCAACUGGGAUCGAGGACCGCGCUUCGGCUAGGAUGCUGGCGUAAUGGUUGUAAGCGACCCGUCUUGAAACACGGACCAAGGAGUCUAACAUCUAUGCGAGUGUUUGGGUGUUAAACCCAUACGCGGAAUGAAAGUGAACGGAGGUAAGAACCCUUAAGGGUGCAUUAUCGACCGAUCCUGAUGUCUUCGGAUGGAUUUGAGUAAGAGCAUAGCUGUUGGGACCCGAAAGAUGGUGAACUAUGCGUGAAUAGGGUGAAGCCAGAGGAAACUCUGGUGGAGGCUCGCAGCGGUUCUGACGUGCAAAUCGAUCGUCAAAUUUGCGCAUAGGGGCGAAAGACUAAUCGAACUAUCUAGUAGCUGGUUCCUGCCGAAGUUUCCCUAGGG
rnacentral:rRNA from 1 species